CAUUUUAUUCUUGCAAGCCUUGGAAACACUUGGAUAAGCUAGCUAGCAGCAUGAAUCAACGUCGACAACCAAGAUGCUCAGUGGUCGGUUGCACAGAUCAGCACAAAUGCCUUCAUGUGACUCUAGCUUCAGAAGACGCAAGAUUGAAAUGGAUUGAUUUCAUAUAUGAAGGCAAUCUUCCUGCAAGAGUUGGCAAAUAUCUGUUAGUGUGCGCUAACCACUUUGAAUUGGACUGUUUUAUCAACCUGGGUAAAUAUAACGCUGGACUCGCUGGAAGGUUGAUGUUGAAAGGGGGGUCGGUGCCAUCUAUCCGUCGCAGGACUGAAGACGAGGGAAAUGCAAGCACACCUGUUCAGGGUGCUAGGGUACAUCACAUGGCCUGCCAGACGGACCCACCACAGAUGUGCACAGUUGGCACGCAGCUUUCAGUGAAAACACUGCGACCUCACUACAAAAGUACAGAGUACGUGGAUAACCUGUUGGACCUCAUCUUUCACGAGGUUUUUUAGGACCCGGCCCCAUAUGUGAAUGAGGUGCUGAAGAUCCCAAUACCCGCGUAUCUCUCUGCCCAGUUUGAGAAACCUGACAAGCGGGAAGUUAUAGCCAGCUAUGUGUCGAGGUUCAAUCGAGGGCAGGUCUCAACUCCGUAUACCUUCCUUGAGCAUCAGGGAACACUCUUCAUAUCUGGAGCACAACGCAGGACGGCAGGACCACCCUGAUUCUCCAGCCCAGAUAGCCCCAACACCAGCUAACAAAGCUUCUGUACGCCAAAUACCUGUGACGGCUGAGCAAAGUUUACAUUGUAUUUAGAGA